GGCAGGAUUGGAGGCAGCAUCUCAAUUCCGUUAAUUUAGGAAGUGCAUUGAAGUUCCUAUUCAAGAACUGAAAAAUAAUCUGAAUUUCAGACUUGUACAAAAGGCCAGCCUUCUCAAUCUGAUUGGCCUGCAGCCCUGUCAAUCACUCUUCAUACCUCUGUUCACCUCUGUUCGCUUGGACACAUUCCAGGGCUCCAGCCCCACAUACCUUGUGUUAGAUUGUGUUCACUUGCCGUCUCAAGAAGAAACAAGUAUUUUGUAAUGACGGACUUCAACAUGCUGUUUGCCUAUCUUCAAGUGUUGUGCAUCCAUCGAACAUAACCACACAACAAUAUAAAGAACAUUAAUGGAAUCAGCUGUGGUGGUGACCAAAUGUUCAGUAUGGGCCUCAGCAUGGACAACACUGUAGUGAGAAGAACCUAAGCAAUCAGCAUAAGUUACUAGCGGGUGAGGGCAUUCACAGCCGAGCUCCUGUUAGCCAAUUUUUUCAUUUUUAAUUUAGCUACCAAUAGUU